ACGAAGGGUGCAAGCGUUACUCGGAAUUACUGGGCGUAAAGCGUGCGUAGGUGGUUCGUUAAGUCUGAUGUGAAAGCCCUGGGCUCAACCUGGGAAUGGCAUUGGAUACUGGCGAUCUGGAGUGCGGUAGAGGGUAGUGGAAUUCCCGGUGUAGCAGUGAAAUGCGUAGAGAACGGGAGGAACAUCCGUGGCGAAGGCGACUGCCUGGACCAGCACUGACACUGAGGCACGAAAGCGUGGGGAGCAAAUAGGA
rnacentral:rRNA from 1 species